rnacentral:rRNA from 1 species
AGUGAACGCUGGCGGUAGGCCUAACACAUGCAAGUCGAACGGCAGCACAGUAAGAGCUUGCUCUUACGGGUGGCGAGUGGCGGACGGGUGAGGAAUACAUCGGAAUCUACUUUUUCGUGGGGGAUAACGUAGGGAAACUUACGCUAAUACCGCAUACGACCUACGGGUGAAAGCAGGGGAUCUUCGGACCUUGCGCGAUUGAAUGAGCCGCUGUCGGACUAGCUAGUUGGCGGGGUAAAGGCCCACCAAGGCGACGAUCCGUAGCUGGUCAGAGAGGAUGAUCAGCCACACUGGAACUGAGACACGGUCCAGACUCCUACGGGAGGGAGCAGUGGGGAAUAUUGGACAAUGGGCGCAAGCCUGAUCCAGCCAUACCGCGUGGGUGGAGAAGGCCUUCGGGUUGUAAAGCCCUUUUGUGGGGAAAGAAAAGCAGCAGGUUAAUACCCCGCUGUUCUGACGGUAACCAAAGAAUAAGCACCGGCUAACUUCGUG